AUAUAUAUAUAUAUAUAUAUAUAUAUAUAUAUAUAUUUAUUUAUGCUUUUGUUGAUAUAUUACAAAAUACAUACAUAGACGGUGUAAAUAAUUUAUGAUUUAUGUUUUGUUUCAAUUUGUGGAACCCCCUGUUUGAUGUUUAACGUGAAUCCUUCAGGUGCAAGACAAUAAAAAUAACACUGUUUUUGCAAAUGCUCAUAUGUUACUUGUAAGAUUGUAUAGCUGUAUCAAGACAAAAGAUAUAUUAUGUUAUAGAAACACAUUGUUUUAUACGAUACGUUUUACCUAUCCAAUUCAAAUGUAAAAAUAUACUGACAAUAUUUUUGAUAUGUAGGAAAUCAAGUCGAAAAAUAUUAAUAUGUGGGAAUUUGAAAAACAAUAACAUAUCAAGGGAGAGCAAUGUGAUAUGCUUGAAAUUGUCAAUAACUGCAAUUUUAAUUCAUGCUUAUUUAUAAGUUUAGGUUCAAUUGAAUUCUCAUUUCUCCAAAAACUUGUGUGUAUUUGUUAUAACAAAAUUCAUAUUUCAUGAAAUGUGUAAGAAAUCAAUUUGAUAGAAUGACAAUAGAGUCUUGAAUUAUUUUUGUAAUUCUGACUAAUAUUAAUGCAUGGACUGCACAAUAUUUUAUUUUAUACUUGACAUAUAACUGACGCUUUAAAAGUUUUACACAAAUCUUAAAGCCAGAUUUCCCCAUUAAAUCUGAUUGUUUGUAUUCAAACUUGAUUUCAAAUCAAAUGUUUUGUUUUUGUUGUUCAACAAUUAAAUAACCUUUGUGUAUGUACAUCUUGUUUGAAUAACAUAUUGAAUUGAUAUUUACAGUGAGAAGAACACUCUUAUUUUAUUUUAUUUUUAUCAUUGUUUAGCUGAAAUAAAAUGGUAACCAUACAAGUGUACACAUUAUGAGUAUUGGGCUAUAUUGGUAUGAUUAAUUCGUUUGUUCGACCAACACCAACGUGACAAUUUGCUUUGGUAAGGCUCUGUUAUAUAAAUAAAAUUCUAUGACGACGUCUCCAAGGUCUUUAUGAAGAGCUUGUGUAACACAUCAUGAUCAUGUGCUUAUCAAUUGAUUGCAUCAUUUUGUCUGACGUGCCUCAAUAUCUUCUAAAUCUAAACAUUACUGUUAAUUUAAUUUUAAUUAUUCAUGUUUCGAUAUUUCUCUAAACUGUACAAAUAUACUUGUUAAAAUAACUAUAUCAUUAUUUUACUGUCAGUGUAAUUAAAUUGAAUAUUUUUUAACCAGGUUUUCCGAAGGAAAAAACUGGUUAUUAGAUUGGCGAAUGCGGGCGGGCUGGCUGGCGGGCUGGCUGGCGGGCGGGCGGAACAAGCUUGUCCGGGCCAUAACUAUGUCGUUCAUUGUCAGAUUUUAAAAUCAUUUGGCACAUUUGUUCACCAUCAUUGGACGGUGUGUCGCGCGAAAUAAUUACGUCGAUAUCUCAAAGGUCAAGGUCACACUUUGAGUUCAAAGGUCAAAAAUGACCAUAAAUGUCCCUUGAGAUAUAACCUUCAUAUUUGGUAUGCAUGUGUAUAUGGACAACGCCUUUCCAUACGCACACAAAUUUUGACCGUCCGUCCGUGUGUCCGUCCGAAAACUUUAACGUUGCUCAUAACUUUUGCAAUAUUGAAGAUAGCAACUUGAUAUUUGCCAUGCAUGUGUAUCUUAUGAAGCUGCACAUUUUUAGUGGUGAAAGGUCAAGGUCAUCCUUCAUGGUCAAAGGUCAAAAAAAAAAUUCAUGUGCAUAUCUCCAAUGUCAAGGUCGCCACGACUAAAAAUAGAUUUAUUUUAAAACAAACUUACCAAGGGGGUUAAUUUUCUUUGUUCAUUUCAAAAGUUCAGUUUGAGUUGUCUCCCUUUAUCAGAUUUUUUUUCACAAUGAAAACCUGGUUUUGUGACAAUUUUGUCCCUUGUUUUAUAGUUUUUCAAUAACUGUAUUGCUUUUUUAAGACGCAAAUUAUACUAAUCAAUACCACUACUAUAUUCAGUGGUUUAUUUGUAGAGGGAUGUACUAAUAAUGUGUAUGUAUAUAUGUACAUUUGUUGAACCAAGUUUGUUGUUCCCCUGUCGUUGAUGUACAUAGCUAUCCCUGCAGUGGAAAUAAUGUUGUAUGUUGACAAUGUGUUGAUACCAAAAUUAAAAAAAUCAUAUUCGU